GCUGUUUUGACGCUCUGGGUGGAUCCACCUCCAGAAACACUGAUGCUGAUGAUAAAUACUGCUGUCACCUCGAUCAGAUCACAUUCACUGCUUCAUCAUGGACAUCGAUCUGUGCUCAGCUGCUGAGGGUGAUGAGGUGAAGAAGCAGGAGGGCAACGAGGUGGAGUCUGGAAAAAAGGAUGAAGAUAAAGAUAAAGGUCAAGAAGAUAAAGAUAAAGAGUGCAAGGACAAAGACAAGGACAAAGAUAAUGACAAGGCGAAGAGUGAUUGCAAAGAAAAGAAAAAAGACAAAGAGUGCAAAGACAAAGAUAAGGACAAGUGCAAAGACAAGGAAAAGAAGAAGAAUAAAGAGCACAAAAAGGGGCACGGACACGGACACGGUCACGGACGCGGACGCGGACACAGAUCAUCCUCUUCAUCCGAUGAUGAGAACUAAAGCUGAAGACUGAAGACAUAAGAGUGACNNNNNNNNNNCUUUAUAUCAGUAAAUGUGAGGUUUUGAGUAAAAAAAAAAAUCCAAUUGCACAAAUUAACGUGUACAAAUACAGUGGUUUUAUAUGUUGGUUUUAAACACCUAUUGCACCAUUAAAUUAGGAUCAUAUAUUUUAUGAAUUCUGUCCUACAAACUAAAAAUUCAAGUACUAUUAUAUUUUUAUUUAUCAAUGCAAGCUGUUACAGGUUUUUUUUAUUUUUUGUGUCUAUGAUUUUUUUUCUCACAUUUUUUGCAGUUUGUUUUACUGUUAAAAACAUUAUAUAAUAAGCCUAUAAUGCAUGUAAUAAAUAGCCUAUAAUACAUUUUGAAUAUUAUAUUGUGGAAAAUGGAUUGAUGUGUUAGUAUGUCAUUUUUUUCUCAAAACAGAUUUAUUCUAAAUAAUAAUAAUAUUUAUUAUAAAUAAAUAAAAUUCCAUAUACUGUGACAACAUGCCCCGCUAAAGGUCAACAUGUCAGCAGAACUUGUUUAAUUAACAGGUGUUUUUGUUGUUGUUGUUUUUGAUAAGAGGGUUUGUGACUUUUCAAAAUAAACUCCAUGAGAAAUAUUUGUUGGUACAAAAAGUCGCCAUGGACUCUUUUAUUUACAAUACAAUACACCUUAUAUUGACUGUAAAAUGCUUU
rnacentral:lncRNA from 1 species